UACGGGGGUGGCAAGCGUUGUUCGGAAUUACUGGGCGUAAAGGGCGCGUAGGCGGCCUGACAAGUCAGAUGUGAAAGCCCCGAGCUUAACUCGGGAAUUGCAUCUGAAACUGUCUGGCUUGAGUUCUGGAGGGGGUAGUGGAAUUCCCAGUGUAGCGGUGAAAUGCGUAGAUAUUGGGAGGAACACCUGCGGCGAAGGCGGCUGCCUGGACAGUGACUGACGCUGAGGCGCGAAAGCUAGGGGAGCGAACGGG
rnacentral:rRNA from 1 species